rnacentral:rRNA from 1 species
UACUCCUACGGGAGGCAGCAGUGGGGAAUAUUGGACAAUGGGCGCAAGCCUGAUCCAGCCAUACCGCGUGGGUGAAGAAGGCCUUCGGGUUGUAAAGCCCUUUUGUUGGGAAAGAAAUCCAGCUGGCUAAUACCCGGUUGGGAUGACGGUACCCAAAGAAUAAGCACCGGCUAACUUCGUGCCAGCAGCCGCGGUAAUACGAAGGGUGCAAGCGUUACUCGGAAUUACUGGGCGUAAAGCGUGCGUAGGUGGUCGUUUAAGUCCGUUGUGAAAGCCCUGGGCUCAACCUGGGAACUGCAGUGGAUACUGGACGACUAGAGUGUGGUAGAGGGUAGCGGAAUUCCUGGUGUAGCAGUGAAAUGCGUAGAGAUCAGGAGGAACAUCCAUGGCGAAGGCAGCUACCUGGACCAACACUGACACUGAGGCACGAAAGCGUGGGGAGCAAACAGGAUUAGAUACCCUGGUAGUCCACGCCCUAAACGAUGCGAACUGGAUGUUGGGUGCAAUUUGGCACGCAGUAUCGAAGCUAACGCGUUAAGUUCGCCGCCUGGGGAGUACGGUCGCAAGACUGAAACUCAAAUGAAUUGACGG